GUAGAAGUGGGGAAUAAACGUGGGUGGGCAGUUGAGCAGAGUGGCACUAUGAUAUAUUCUAAUUCCGCGUUUUCAUAUAAUCCCGAAGGAUUAAUUAACCAAAUACGUGUAUGUAAUUUAAAACCUGCAUGCGAAGGUAUCAAGUAUUUCAUAAACAAGAAUCUAUUCUCUGUAACGCGCGCUGAAUGAAAUAAUUUCAAUCACCGAAGAUUUUCAUCUUCAGUGUCAUUGAAGUAGUUCUUUAUACAAAUAUUUUCUCUAUCUCUUACCGUGAUUCACUUGAACAGUCGGAGUUGAAUAAAUUCGUGCGAAUUCGGCCCGAGUGAGCUACAAGUAAUAUUCCACGUGCGUUCGCCCGAGACUCGCGUUGUGCGCCCGGAAUACCAGGACCACCACGUUGAAACCCGCUGCGAGAUGGAGUCCAGCGAAAGGGGUAGAGACGCUUUCCCGUCGAAACGAAGUAGUCGUUCAAGGAGUUCAGUCAAGGGAAGUCCUGAAGGUGGUCGUAGGCCUACGAAAAAGAGGCGUUCCGCAAUAGAUAAAGCUAGUAAAGCCUCAAAGAGGCCGCGUAUAGACGUAAGUACUAACGAUAAGGAAUUCAAGUUCGCUAAAAGUGUCGCCGGGAGGGAAGAUUCGCCUCGAUUUAAAAACUUCUUCCAUUAUUUGACUCACGGAGAAGGAAGGGAAUGUCUAGAAGUUCUGGAACGAGGAGGAGUAAAUUUAGCUAACAUGUCCAAUAUUUUGGGUAAGGCAGGAGCUAGUGCUUCUGUAGCCUUUAAAGGGUUGUACGACGUGUGGUUCGAUAAACAAGGAAAUAGAACACGAUAUUUAAAAACUCCAGAAGAAAAUGGAAUAAAGCUGUCGAGUAUGUCCAGUAUUUUGGGCAAGGCAGGAGCCAAUGCUUCUGAAGCUUUUAAAAAAUUAUAUGACGUGUGGUUCGAUAAUUAUGGAAAUAAAACGAAAUAUUUAAAAGCUCUGGAAGACAACGGAAUAAAUUUAGCCAGCGUGUCCAGCAUUUUACACGGGACAGGAAUUAAUUCCGCGAGAGACUUCAUACAACUUUAUAACAUCUUUUUCGACGAGCAAGGGAAUAAGGGACAGUAUUUAAUAACGUUAGAAGAAAACGGAAUGGGCAUAGCUAAUAUAUCCGGUAUACUAAGCGGCGCAAGAUCUAACGCUCCUAAAGUUUUUAAAGACUUGUACAAUCUCUGGUUCGACGCUGAAGGGAAUAAAACGCAAUACUUAGAAACUCUGAAAGAAGAAGGGAUAAACCUAGCUAAUAUAUCUAGUAUUUUGAGCAAAGCAGGAGUAAAUGCUCCUAAAGCUUUUAAAGAUUUAUACGAUCUUUGCUUCGACGCGACAGGAAAUAAGACGUUGUAUUUAAAGACCUUAGAAGAGAACGGAAUAGGCAUAGCUAAUAUAUCCGGUAUUUUAAGCGGCACGGGAGCUAACGCUCCGAGAGCUUUCAAAGACUUGUACGACUUGUGGUUCGACAAACAAGGCAAUCAAACGCGAUAUUUAAAAACUCUCGAAAAAGAAGGAAUAAAGUUGUCGAAUAUAUCGGGUAUCGUCAGUGGGGCCGGAGCUAAUGCCCCGAGAGCUUUCAAACACUUGUACGACCUGUGGUUCGACGAACAAGGAAGUAAAACACGGUAUUUGAAAUGUUUAGAAAAAGAGGGAAUCAGUCUGUCUAAUAUUUCCAGUAUUUUGCACGGGGUAGGGACCAAUGCUCCGAAAGCUUUCAUAGAAUUGUACGACACUUUUUUCGAUCACCACGGAAAUAAAACGCAGUGUUUAAAGAAUCUCGAAAAAAAUGGAGUCAAUUUGUCGAAUGUAUCGUGCAUUUUGAACGGAGCUGGAGCUAACGCUACGAAAACUUUAAAGAACGUGUGCGAGCUAUGGUUCGACGCGAAAGGAAAUGAAACGCAGUGUUUGAAAAUGUUGAGAAAAGAGGGAAUAAAUCUUGUUAAUAUAUCGAGUAUUUUAAGCAGAGCGGGAGCUAACGCUCCCAAGGCUUUUAAAGAUUUAUACAAUCUCUGGUUCGAUUCAACGGGAAAUAAGACGAAGUAUUUGAAAACCCUGGAAGAGAACGGAAUGGGCAUCGCUAAUAUAUCCGGUAUUCUAAGCGGAGCUGGAGCUAAUGCAAAGGAAGCUUUCAAAGACUUGUACAAUCUCUGGUUCGACGCGAACGGAUGUAAAACGCGAUAUUUAACAACUUUAGAGAACGAAGGAAUAAAUCUAGCUAGAUUAUCGAGUAUUUUGCACGGCGCAGGAGCCAGCGUAGCGAAAGCUUUCAAAGAGUUGUACGAUUUUUGGUUCGACGCCGAGGGAAAUAAAAAACAGCAGUUGAAGCAUUUUAUUGAGAAACGAAACGGGGGAAAGUGUUUCACGUUGUAUAAUUUAUCUGGUAUUUUAAGCAAAGCAGGGGCCAAGGCUAAACACGCAUUUAAAAAACUGCAUAAUAUUUGUUUCAACGACGAGGGAGAAAGAACGGAAUUGUUGGACGAUUUCUAUAAGGCACGUUUUACGCCUAGUAAUUUGUCCUCUUUAUUAUGUGCUACUGGAUCACGUGCUUCCCACGUUUUAAAGAGAUUACACAAUGUUUGUUUCGAUGAGAAGAGAGAAAUAACGAGGCUCUUAGGCGAUUUCUAUAAGGCAGGAUUUAAGCCGGGUAAUCUGUGCAGCAUGUUGAGCGGAGCACCGCAUAAUCUUGAAGAGUUGCACGAUUUUUGUUUCGUCGCUGAGACGAGCGUGUAUUUAAAUCAUUUGUUAAGUGGGAAAGCAGGUUUUAAGCCGAGCAGUUUAUGCAAAAUGUUACACGGGGCUGGAGCUAAUAUCUUUUCCGCCAUCAUAGAUUUUCACGACGUCUGCUUCGACGAGGGAGGAAACAAAACGCAGCUUUUAAGCGAUUUCCAUAAUGCAGGCUUUACGCCGAGUGAUUUAUCGAAAAUAUUAUCCAUGGCGGGAAGCAAUGCCGCUUAUAUUUUGAAGAACUUUUACGAAGUUUGUUUUAAUAAAGGAAAUUUGAGGCACUUCUUGGCUCAGGAUAAAUAUUUUACCCCGAACGAUCUAGCUAGGAUAUUAUACGGUGUAGGAAUUAACGUUUGUCCUAUUUUUGAAAAGUUGCAUCGCCUCUGUUUUGAUAAGGACGGAAGGAAAACGAAGUAUUUAAAGAAUCUCAUCAAGAACGAUCAGCAUAAGAUUUCUGACAUAUUACAUGAACAAGUUAAGAAAGCUUCUUCUACCUCCUCAGAGUUUCAAGAAUAAUUCUCGAUCUUAAUCAAUGUCAAUGGUUGCAUGUGUGUUAAAUACUUUAAGAAGAAGGAAACUUCUUAUUACGAAUAAGUUGUUUUGAAAAUGAUCGAGUAGAGAUAUUAAAUCUAGUAUUAAGUUCGAAGAAGGACCGUGUAUGCAAUUGGCUGGAAAGCGCAGAAGCUGGAGGGGAUGGUGGUCGGGUAAGAGUGAGACAGCGGGGCGAAAUGGAGAGAGGGAGCGUGAAAAGAGGGGUCACGGAAGGGGAAGACAAGUGCACACACAAAGUAGACAUAUAGGUCAAUGUCGGGGCACUCCCGUGCACUGUUUAGCACGACUCACCUACUGACCUACUUACCAGCCUCCGCCUUUCGCGUACUCUGACCAGCCUCGCUUAGCUUUCCCGGUUCUCCAUUCCACACAGGUAAGUUGAGAUUUUCAAAUGUCCUCAAAACUUGUUCCAAUCCGUAAGUACAUGACUUUAUUAAUUAAAUAAGAUUUUAAGUAAGAAGUAUAUUUUUUAUAAAACAGAAGAGAUUAGUUUAUAUCGCUGGGAAUAUUUUUAUACUUAAUCAGAGUAGUCCAUGCAAUUUCCUGAAGGUAACGCGUACCAAUCGAUAUCAUCGCAUCAAUGAUUUCAUUCUGAUAUCUAAACGCUUGCAUGAAUUAAUUCAUUAACAGAUCUGUGACAUGAAACGUUCUAACAAAGUUAAUAAUAAAUCGCGAGUACUUGAACAUGAAUAACGUCGCUCGGUAGAAGGGUUGCAAAGGCGGCGUUUCAUAUUUUUAUACCCUCUCGCGUCACACCUGCUCGGCGUAAGAACAAACAAUAAUUUACUUGCGGUUAAACACUUUCUUCGGUUGAUUGGCUUACGAGAGAGUCCGAGCCUCAACGCGGUUAUCCUUAACUUGGUCAAGGUUUAUCUCAUGCACCGAGCAUAAAAUGUAAAAUAAUAAAAAAAAUGAUAAAGAAGCAGUCAACUUCUCUAACUGUUCGUUUUAACAGCUACUUAAUACCGUCCUUCGAACAUAAUUUUAUGAUCGCUGAUGUCAACCGUUCUCUAUAAAAUUC